rnacentral:rRNA from 1 species
CAGCCGCCGCGGUAAUACGGAGGGUGCAAGCGUUAAUCGGAAUUACUGGGCGUAAAGCGCACGCAGGCGGUUUGUUAAGUCAGAUGUGAAAUCCCCGAGCUUAACCUGGGAACUGCACUUGAAACUGGCAAGCUAGAGUCUUGUAGAGGGGGGUAGAAUUCCAGGUGUGGCGGUGAAAUGCGUAGAGAUCGGGAGGAACAUCAGUGGCGAAGGCGGCCAUCUGGGACAACACUGACGCUGAGGCACGAAAGCGUGGGGAGCAAACAGGAUUAGAUACCCCUGUAGUCCCUGUCUCUUAUAC